rnacentral:misc_RNA from 1 species
AAGAUGGAAGCGCGCCACGGGAUCGAGCGGAUGCCCGCGCGAGCCCUUCGCCUCCAAGAAGUAGUAAGCCGCCAGCGGCAGCAAUUCGGUCUUGACCUGUUCGGCGAGGUCGGGAUCGUCGGCCCAGUUCGGCAUAUCCAGCGCCUCGAGCGUAGCGCGUGACGCCGCAUCGAGCAGCGGCGAGUUCUCGGAGGCGCGCUCGCGCUUCAGCCAGGCCGCGAAUCCC